CCUGAACAACUUCCUUCAUGCCUUCUCAGCCUUGUCCAUAGUAGAUCUUUUCAAGCUCUUUAUCUCUCUCCAUAUAUUGCCAAUUUUAUUAUCCAACUCCAAAUCUGAUGCAACACCUUUGUCCAUUGCCUUUAACUGUUUAUUUUCAGCUAACAAUACCUUGUUCUCUAAUUUCAGAUCAUUGAUUAUUUCAUUUACCCUAGCACUUAAUGCAUCAUCAUACCACUCAAAAUAUCCACAACCUAAACUGUAAAUUCAAUCAAAUAAAUCCACAAGCAUUUACUUACCACUGCUGCCAAACAAAUUAUAAAUUUAAAAAUGGACAUCUUAUCUUAUAAUUAGGGCACCCAAAAAUCCAUGAUGUUCACCU
rnacentral:lncRNA from 1 species